rnacentral:piRNA from 1 species
UGAAAAGUUGUCAAGGGAUUAGUGU